GACGAACGCUGGCGGCGUGCUUGACACAUGCAAGUCGAACGGAAAGGCCCUGCUUUUGUGGGGUGCUCGAGUUGCGAACGGGUGAGUAACACGUGAGUAACCUGCCCUUGACUUUGGGAUAACUUCAGGAAACUGGGGCUAAUACCGGAUAGGAGCUCCUGCUGCAUGGUGGGGGUUGGAAAGUUUCGGCGGUUGGGGAUGGACUCGCGGCUUAUCAGCUUGUUGGGGGGGUAGUGGCUUACCAAGGCUUUGACGGGUAGCCGGCCUGAGAGGGUGACCGGCCACAUUGGGACUGAGAUACGGCACAGACUCCUACGGGAGGCAGCAGUGGGGAAUAUUGCACUAUGGGCUGAAGCCUGAUGCAGCAACGCCGCGUGCGGGAUGACGGCCUUCGGGUUGUAAACCGCUUUCGCCUGUGACGAAGCGUGAGUGACGGUAAUGGGUAAAGAAGCACCGGCUAACUACGUG
rnacentral:rRNA from 1 species